rnacentral:rRNA from 1 species
GUGGGGAAUAUUGGACAAUGGGCGCAAGCCUGAUCCAGCCAUACCGCGUGGGUGAAGAAGGCCUUCGGGUUGUAAAGCCCUUUUGUUGGGAAAGAAAUCCUGUCGGUUAAUACCUGGCGGGGAUGACGGUACCCAAAGAAUAAGCACCGGCUAACUUCGUGCCAGCAGCCGCGGUAAUACGAAGGGUGCAAGCGUUACUCGGAAUUACUGGGCGUAAAGCGUGCGUAGGUGGUGGGUUAAGUCCGUUGUGAAAGCCCUGGGCUCAACCUGGGAAUUGCAGUGGAUACUGGAUCACUAGAGUGUGGUAGAGGGAUGCGGAAUUUCUGGUGUAGCAGUGAAAUGCGUAGAGAUCAGAAGGAACAUCCGUGGCGAAGGCGGCAUCCUGGGCCAACACUGACACUGAGGCACGAAAGCGUGGGGAGCAAACAGGAUUAGAAACCCGGGUAGUCC